CAAGAUGGCUAUACGGCUGCGGGAAUUUUAUUCACGAGGAAAGUCCGGACUUUAUACGACGGCGUGCUGGUUAACGGCCAGUGAAGGUGACUUUAAGGAAAGUGCAACAGAAAACAACCGCAACUUUUAGUUGUAAGGAUGAAAAGGCGAGGUAAGAGCUCACCGCACUUACGGUGACGUAGGUGGCAGUGUAAACCCCACGUAAAGCAAGAUAGGAAUAAGUAACAAAGGCGUCGUACCUACUUAUUCGUUUUAUUCGCUUGAACUAUGCGGUAACGCAUAGUCUAGAUAGAUAGCCGUAUUAAACGACAGAAUCCGGCUUACAGGCCAUCUUGUGUU
rnacentral:RNase_P_RNA from 1 species